UCUGACAACCUUGAGCAAUAGCAUUGAGAUGUAUCAUAAUCACUUAUAUAUACAUUAUAAUUAGGAGACAAAAUAAAAGUCAGAAAUCAUGGAGAGAAAAAUGCUUUUCAGCUUAUUCUUCUAUCUUAUUAUUGUCUUUGCUACUCAAGAAUCAGUGAUGCAGAUUGAGGCAUCUGAGGUAAGAUGUUUUACGUUUGAAGGUCCAUGCAGACACGAUAAUGGAGCAGAUCGUGCUGUUUGUGAAAUUCGCUGCCGUAUGAUGAAUAAAAUUAUAUCUGGUGGUUCCUGCGUAAAUGAUAAAUGCAUUUGUAGUAUCUAACAUAUCCAAGAUAUAGUUAUACUAUAUUAUUUCGUUUCUAUUUUAUAUAUAGGGCUAAUCCCUAUUUUGCUUCCUGCUAUAAUUUGGUUCAUGUGUAUCUGGUUCAAUGUCCAAGAAAUAAAUUCUAAUUUGAUUAUUUUCCAA